rnacentral:rRNA from 1 species
AAAGAGAAAAGUGGAUUCCCAUGGGUAGCGUGAAAAUGCGCAGAGAUAUGGAGGAACAUCAGUGGCGAAGGCGACUUUCUGGUCUGUAACUGACGCUGAUGUGUUCUCAGUUCGGAUUGUAGUCUGCAACUCGACUAUAUGAAGCUGGAAUCGCUAGUAAUCGUAGAUCAGCAUGCUACGGUGAAUACGUUCCCGGGU